AGGCCGGAGGUCAACGCCCGACAGCGCUAUGCGCCCUCGGGCGCAAAUGUG
rnacentral:sRNA from 1 species